GAAUGCUGACAUAAGUAACGAUAAAGCGGGUGAAAAGCCCGCUCGCCGGAAGACCAAGGGUUCCUGUCCAACGUUAAUCGGGGCAGGGUGAGUCGACCCCUAAGGCGAGGCCGAAAGGCGUAGUCGAUGGGAAACAGGUUAAUAUUCCUGUACUUGGUGUUACUGCGAAGGGGGGACGGAGAAGGCUAUGUUGGCCGGGCGACGGUUGUCCCGGUUUAAGCGUGUAGGCUGGUUUUCCAGGCAAAUCCGGAAAAUCAAGGCUGAGGCGUGAUGACGAGGCACUACGGUGCUGAAGCAACAAAUGCCCUGCUUCCAGGAAAAGCCUCUAAGCAUCAGGUAACAUCAAAUCGUACCCCAAACCGACACAGGUGGUCAGGUAGAGAAUACCAAGGCGCUUGAGAGAACUCGGGUGAAGGAACUAGGCAAAAUGGUGCCGUAACUUCGGGAGAAGGCACGCUGAUAUGUAGGUGAAGUCCCUCGCGGAUGGAGCUGAAAUCAGUCGAAGAUACCAGCUGGCUGCAACUGUUUAUUAAAAACACAGCACUGUGCAAACACGAAAGUGGACGUAUACGGUGUGACGCCUGCCCGGUGCCGGAAGGUUAAUUGAUGGGGUUAGCCGCAAGGCGAAGCUCUUGAUCGAAGCCCCGGUAAACGGCGGCCGUAACUAUAACGGUCCUAAGGUAGCGAAAUUCCUUGUCGGGUAAGUUCCGACCUGCACGAAUGGCGUAAUGAUGGCCAGGCUGUCUCCACCCGAGACUCAGUGAAAUUGAACUCGCUGUGAAGAUGCAGUGUACCCGCGGCAAGACGGAAAGACCCCGUGAACCUUUACUAUAGCUUGACACUGAACAUUGAGCCUUGAUGUGUAGGAUAGGUGGGAGGCUUAGAAGUGUGGACGCCAGUCUGCAUGGAGCCGACCUUGAAAUACCACCCUUUAAUGUUUGAUGUUCUAACGUUGACCCGUAAUCCGGGUUGCGGACAGUGUCUGGUGGGUAGUUUGACUGGGGCGGUCUCCUCCUAAAGAGUAACGGAGGAGCACGAAGGUUGGCUAAUCCUGGUCGGACAUCAGGAGGUUAGUGCAAUGGCAUAAGCCAGCUUGACUGCGAGCGUGACGGCGCGAGCAGGUGCGAAAGCAGGUCAUAGUGAUCCGGUGGUUCUGAAUGGAAGGGCCAUCGCUCAACGGAUAAAAGGUACUCCGGGGAUAACAGGCUGAUACCGCCCAAGAGUUCAUAUCGACGGCGGUGUUUGGCACCUCGAUGUCGGCUCAUCACAUCCUGGGGCUGAAGUAGGUCCCAAGGGUAUGGCUGUUCGCCAUUUAAAGUGGUACGCGAGCUGGGUUUAGAACGUCGUGAGACAGUUCGGUCCCUAUCUGCCGUGGGCGCUGGAGAACUGAGGGGGGCUGCUCCUAGUACGAGAGGACCGGAGUGGACGCAUCACUGGUGUUCGGGUUGUCAUGCCAAUGGCACUGCCCGGUAGCUAAAUGCGGAAGAGAUAAGUGCUGAAAGCAUCUAAGCACGAAACUUGCCCCG
rnacentral:rRNA from 1 species